rnacentral:rRNA from 1 species
GAUACCCGAAUGGGGAAACCCAGUGUGAUUCGUCACACUAUCAUUAACUGAAUCCAUAGGUUAAUGAGGCGAACCGGGGGAACUGAAACAUCUAAGUACCCCGAGGAAAAGAAAUCAACCGAGAUUCCCCCAGUAGCGGCGAGCGAACGGGGAGGAGCCCAGAGCCUGAAUCAGCAUGUGUGUUAGUGGAAGCGUCUGGAAAGGCGCGCGAUACAGGGUGACAGCCCCGUACACAAAAGCGCAUGUGCUGUGAGCUCGAUGAGUAGGGCGGGACACGUGGUAUCCUGUCUGAAUAUGGGGGGACCAUCCUCCAAGGCUAAAUACUCCUGACUGACCGAUAGUGAACCAGUACCGUGAGGGAAAGGCGAAAAGAACCCCGGCGAGGGGAGUGAAAAAGAACCUGAAACCGUGUACGUACAAGCAGUGGGAGCACCCUUCGGGGUGUGACUGCGUACCUUUUGUAUAAUGGGUCAGCGACUUAUAUUCUGUAGCAAGGUUAACCG